AGGGAAAUAGCUCAGUGGUAAAGCAUAUGCUUAACAUGCAGGAGAUCCUGGGUUCAAUCCCUAGUACCUCCC
rnacentral:tRNA from 1 species